GAUGAACGCUGGCGGCGUGCCUAAUACAUGCAAGUCGAGCGAAUGGAUUAAGAGCUUGCUCUUAUGAAGUUAGCGGCGGACGGGUGAGUAACACGUGGGUAACCUGCCCAUAAGACUGGGAUAACUCCGGGAAACCGGGGCUAAUACCGGAUAACAUUUUGAACCGCAUGGUUCGAAAUUGAAAGGCGGCUUCGGCUGUCACUUAUGGAUGGACCCGCGUCGCGUGAGCUAGUUGGUGAGGUAACGGCUCACCAAGGCAACGAUGCGUAGCCGACAUGAGAGGGUGAUCGGACACAAUGGGACUGAGACACGGCCCAGACUCCUACGGGAGGCAGCAGUAGGGAAUCUUCCGCAAUGGACGAAAGUCUGACGGAGCAACGCCGCGUGAGUGAUGAAGGCUUUCGGGUCGUAAAACUCUGUUGUUAGGGAAGGACAAGUGCUAGUUGAAUAAGCUGGCACCUUGACGGUACCUAACCAGAAAGCCACGGCUAACUACGUGCCAGCAGCCGCGGUAA
rnacentral:rRNA from 1 species